AACGAACGCUGGCGGCAGGCCUAACACAUGCAAGUCUAGCGGAUCCUUCGGGAUUAGCGGCGGACGGGUGAGUAACGCGUGGGAAUAUGCCCUUCUCUACGGAAUAGCCUCGGGAAACUGGGAGUAAUACCGUAUACGCCCUACGGGGCAAAGAUUUAUCGGAGAAGGAUUAGACCGGGUUGGAUUAGGUAGUUGGUGGGGUAAUGGCCUACCAAGCCUACGAUCCAUAGCUGGCUUGAUAGGAUGAUCAGCCACACUGGGCCUGGGACACGGCACAGACCCCUACGGGAGGCAGCUGUGGGGAAUCUUAGACAUUGGGGGAAACCCUGAUCUAGCCAUGCCGCGUGAGUGAUGAAGGCCUUAGGGUUGUAAAGCUCUUUCAGCUGGGAAGAUAAUGACGGUACCAGCAGAAGAAGCCCCGGCUAACUCCGUGCCAGCCGCCGCCGUAAAAC
rnacentral:rRNA from 1 species